CAGAAACAGAGGAUAGCUCCGGUGGCUGCUCCAGCAGAAAAGUCCUGGAAGUGCCCAGAUCCAAAUCAUCUCUGGUUACAUUCUGGGAGUCCAGGUAUGUGGCCGGCACCCAGCCCUGCUCCUCUGCUGUGCUGACAAACCACCAGCCUGGACAGAGCGACAGAAGACAGAGAGAGGAAGGAAGACAUAGUGAAGAUUACAGUACUGUAACAGUCAUCCAAUCUGAAGGACAGUAGUGAGCGUCAUUCCUAUGAGCUGGUCAUGACUCGCAGCCAACACAGCAGCUAAUUCAAACUGAGGGCCUGUGGGGGGUUUGCACAGUAGCUGCAGUGUACAGAGGCUCCUCCAACCUGAAUUUCCUCACAGUCACACUAGCUUCUGUGGAUGCUCUGUGCCUUUCGACCAACUGCUGUCAUACUCCUGCAGAGACAUUACAGUGCAACCUGGCCAAUCCCCUGUUUGGUUGCACCUUGUGCGAGCUGUCCGAGCAACCUUGGGUCCUUCAGUGAACUUUGUGUGCGUUGUUGCAGUGUGAAAGGUCCACCUAGCAGCAAGAACAGCUUGCCCCAUGUGAAACACAUUAGGACUCUCAUAGGCAGAUUCAUUGCAACUACUUAAAAAGCUCAGGAAGAAUUGGAGCCACCUGUGCGAGGAGAGCAGUAGUUCUGCACUGAGUCAAAGGCAGGAGUUCUUCCUCUCUGAAGCCCACCUGGUACACAGUGGAAAAACAGAACAAUAAAUCUGCUGCACUGAUGGAGGACUGAUGAUAGGGGACUGCUUGUCAUCAACAGUGGCAAGUGUGAACUCCCUUGCAUCUUACCUUCAGUAGAAUUACAUACACUGAUAGGAGUGUUUGUUUUUUGGCAUACAUUCAAAGGUAAUUUGUAUAUUGACCAAUCAGCACAUCACAUCAAACCAGGACAUGAUUUCAUCAUAUCACACUGGU